rnacentral:rRNA from 1 species
CCUACGGGAGGCAGCAGUGAGGAAUAUUGGUCAAUGGCCGGAAGGCUGAACCAGCCAAGUCGCGUGAGGGAUGACUGCCCUAUGGGUUGUAAACCUCUUUUAUAAGGGAAGAAUAAAUGCUACGUGUACCAUGUUGCCUGUACCUUAUGAAUAAGCAUCGGCUAACUCCGUGCCAGCAGCCGCGGUAAUACGGGGGAUGCGAGCGUUAUCCGGAUUUAUUGGGUUUAAGGGGUGCGUAGGCGGUGUUUUAAGUAGGUGGUAAAAGGUCGGGGCUUCACCUUGACUUGCCGUUGAUACUGUUAGACUCGAGUACAGGCGAGGUAGGCUGAAUGAGUUGGGUAGCGGUGAAAUGCUUAGAUAUAACUUAGAACUCCGAUGGCGAAGGCAGCUUACCAGACUGGGACUGACGCUGAGGCACGAAAGCGUGGGUAGCGAACAGGAUUAGAUACCCUAGUAGUC